GGAUGGUGAUGAGAACAAUUCUCUGAAUGUGGUGAAUGACUCAUACAAAUAGCCAUCAGAGGUCC